UGGGGAAUUUUCCGCAAUGGGCGAAAGCCUGACGGAGCAACGCCGCGUGGGUGAUGAAGUCUUUCGGGACGUAAAACCCUUUCAGCAGGGACGAAGCGAGUGACGGUACCUGCAGAAGAAGCAUCGGCUAACUACGUGCCAGCAGCCGCGGUAAUACGUAGGAUGCGAGCGUUGUCCGGAUUUAUUGGGCGUAAAGAGAACGUAGGUGGUUUCUUAAGUUUGGUCUUAAAGACCGGGGCUCAACCCCGGGAAUGGAUCGAAUACUGGGAGACUAGAGGAUGUUAGAGGAAAGUGGAAUUCCAAGUGUAGCGGUGAAAUGCGUAGAUAUUUGGAGGAACACCAGUGGCGAAAGCGGCUUUCUGGGACAUUCCUGACACUGAGGUUCGAAAGCUCGGGGAGCAAACAG
rnacentral:rRNA from 1 species